GUAAACCCGAAUUUUGCUGGUUUGUUAUCUUAACAAUGGUUUUCUUGUCAAUAUGACAUGGGUGUGUGUAGAAAGUUUAUUUAACUUAAAAUAAUUAAUUGACAACGCCUCAACUACAUGGAAGUUAACCAAAUUGAAAAUCAAUGUUAUGUUAGCUAGAUAGUCCAAGCUGAGUUAAAAAACAAGGCCAAUUGUGCUUCAUCACGUGGUACGUUUUGCGUCACGUGGUACGUUUUGCGUGACUUUGAAUCCACAUUGAAGCGGCCAUAUUUCUGCGCACAGUCGAAAGGAGAAACGAAGAGGAAUCGUUUAUUUGGUGAGUGUAAAUUCUUAAACAUUUAAUGUGUUUGGUCGUCUGUGAUACUCGUUUAUUGUAAAGUUAACUGAAAAAAUGUUGAGUGAAUAUCAUUGAUUUAUUCUUAACGUCUUACUACGGUACUUAAACAUUAUUAUAUAGCCUAGUCGAACACAGCACAAAUCAUCGAAAGUGGUAGGCCUACUUUUACGACGGAGUAUUAGGGCCACACGUGAAGAAAAAUAUAUUUUAGCCGUGACGAGAUUAAAAUCGACGCGUCGAUUUUAAAGUCAACACGACUUUAAUCUCGAUGUGUGCAUUUUCCGUUCCUCUGUCAGCACGCUGACGCUCCGGGCAUCCUCCCAAAGCGUGCAGCGGAUGACACGAAGUAGUCGGCAAUAACUCUGGGGUCAUUGUUUGUGGUGUAGGCCUCCAUCCAAACAAUACAGCGACUAAAACCGUCAAUGCAACCCAUGAUGGCAAUGCAACACUUCUACAGCGGAUGACUACUUCGUGUCAUCCGUUGCACGAUUGGGAGGAUGCCCGGAGUGUCUGCGUGCUGACAGGAACCGAAAAUGGACGCGUCGAGAUUAAAGUCGACAUGACAUUUCAACUUUAUUCUCGACAUUUCGAUAUUAAUCUCGUCACGGAAAAAAAAAAUUUUUGCUUCACGUGUGGCCCUAAUACUCCGUCGUAGCCUACUACUUUCAUAGUCACUGGCGGCGAAAAACGAAUUAAAAUAAAUUAAACUAGUAGCUUUUUACACGAGGCACCUAUAAAAUGGCUGCCAUACAUAACGUAGCGGCCUAUACAGAGCACCGUCGAAGCCUUGUAUGUCUCGUCGCAUGGUUGUUCACACGCCAGACACUUCUCGGACGGCAGAGUUGUCCGCCCAUCCAAUAUUUAACCGUUAACCUUCGUUCAAACGUUUAACUUAUCUUUAACGCAAUCUUCAAGCGGGUUGGUUUCUGACAUACGUCAGACCUGUGUUGAUGGUAAAACAAUAAGUGUUUUUAAUUUUUUACUAUCAUUACCAAGAACACACGUUUGACCCGCUUGAAGAUUGCCUUAAAAUAAGGGGAUUUUUAGACGUGAAUGGACCUCUGCCCCGGGUGUUUACCACGUGGCAAGAUGGCAGCGGCAUUGCCGCAUACGUGCCACUGAACAGCGCAGCUCGGGUGAUAACUACUCGGUGUAUAGCUAUGGUCGCUAAACGUUUAUUUCUUGUUGCACUUGCGCCAAAAUAAUUAAUCGAGUGGAAAUAGGAUUGUUAUAUAUACCAGGCGUUUCUCUGUGGGGACCCCCGUUUAUAUGGCUUAGAGGCUAGGUGCUUGCUACAUCCGGGUGUAUUUGGUAGAAGCGAAAUGCAAUAGUAAGGGGCGAGGGAGGGCCUUCAGACUUGUCAUGUAGGCCCCAUCCAUUUUUUGGGUGAAGACGGAUAAGAGUUGAUGCGCGCGCAGGCUUGAUGAGCGCACGCGCGCAGGCUUGAUGAGCGCGCGCAGUGUGUGCGUUAAAAGUUAUUAAUUAAAUUAGGUCUUGUUCAGGUGUUUAUUGUGCUCACCUGUAGUCUUUUACAGGUUGUUUUUUUAUAUUCAUUGGCUGCUGUUCAGGGCUUCUGGGUGCUACUGUGUUUCAUUUUUAUGUAAAAAUAUUAAAAUGUACAAAUAUUCAUACUGUUUUGUGUAAAUAGGAAAAUAUGAAAUGGUUAUUUAACUACCAAUUUUUAUUUUGUAAAUUGCUAUGUGGAAAAUAUAAAAUGCUUAUUGAAGUUGCAUAUCUGUCUUAAUUCUCUUUUCUUUCUUUUUCCAGGUCUACAUGCUUAAAAUGGUAGAAUGCAAACAUAAAUGAGUUGGCUUUGUAAGUACUGUACCUACUUUUCAGAAAAUCGUAGAAGAAUAAUUGAACAUUAUAGAGCUGUCCAUGGACAUUUUGGAAGAAACUGUCCAUUGCCCUGUAUCUACAGUGACUGUCAUCGAGUUUUCCGAUCACAGCAAUCCCUGAAAAACCACUUAAAACAACAUGGAGUUUCACAGCAUGAACCUACUGGACAUUUAAACUUUAAAAUUAACUGUCAGUUAUGCGAUUUCAAUGAAUCAGUGAAUAUAAAACAGUAUUUCUCUCAUCUUGGGAAACAUCUUAAAAGUAAAGAGACUGUUACUUGCCCCUUUAAUCAUUGUUCUUUCAAAUCAAGGGUUUACUCUACCUUUACUUCACACAAAAGUCGAUUUCAUAACAAUGUCACACUGCAAGACUUGAAAUCUGACCUUGUUCUUCAAACAAAUGUCAAUGAGGAGCACCUGGUUGAUCAAGUGCAGUCAGAAAUCAGUGACGCUGAAUUUGCUGGGGUUGAGAAUAUAACCGAGCAUGAAGUAAACACUGAUACAGUUCAGGCUAGACUUGCAUCUUUACUUCUGCGAUUGCAAACAGUUUUGCAUGUCUCAAAGACAGCAGUUCAGCAAAUAGUUACAGAAUUUAGGGAUAUUGGUGUUUUAGUUGGUGAGCUAAACAAAAAUACUCUUGAUAAAGUAUUGAGGCAGCAUGGUUGUUCCAUUGAUGAAAGCACUUUAAAUAUUGUUAAAGAUACUUUGUGCCAGACUAAUCAUUUUAGCUGUCUUUCAGAAGGUGGUUCUUUGGGAACUGACAAAAGAAGGUUAUCAUUUUUCAAGGAGAACUUCAGUGUUAUUAACCCAGUUGAAUAUGUUUUAGAUUUGUCAUCAAAACGAACAUUUGUUUAUGUGUCAAUCUUGGGUGUUCUUCAAGUAUUGUUGAAUAGGGGUGAUGUACUUGACAGAGUUUUAGAAGAAAGACAAAAAUUUCAAUCUGGGCAUUAUGCAUCUUUUUCUGAUGCAUCAUACUGCAAGGAAAAUCCACUUAUUUCUGGUGAAGAUCUAAGUAUUUCUCUGGGCUUGUACAUUGAUGAUUUUGAAGUCUGUAAUCCUUUAGGGACCUCAAGGAAAAAACAUAAAUUGUGUGCCAUCUAUUGGGUAAUUGCUAAUUUACCUGUAAGAGACCGAUCAUCCUUAUGUACUAUAUAUCUGGCUGCCCUAUGCAAAAGUCAAGAUGUUAAAACAUUUGGUUACAGUCCAAUUCUUGAACCAUUGCUGAGAGACCUAAAAUUGCUUGAAAAUCAAGGAAUUUACAUCAACAGAUUAGGAACUAGUGUGAGAGGCACAGUAAUAUACAUUUCAUCAGAUAAUUUGGGGGCACAUUCUUUUGCUGGCUUUCAAGAAUCAUUUAAUGUGGACAAGUUUUGCAGAUUUUGCCUUGCAGGUCGAAAAGAUAUUCAAACUUGUUCUGCAAGAAGUGGUGCAUUUGUAUUGAGAACAAGAGAGUCACAUAACCUAGACCUCUCUGAGCUUAAGGACAAUGUGACUUUGAAAAGUGUCAAUGGGGUAAAAAGGGACUGUGUUCUAAAUGAACUACAGUACUUUCAUUGCAUCACAGGGUUUCCACCUGACUUUUUGCACGAUCUUUUGGAAGGCAUUGUACCUUUUGAGCUGUGUUUGUGUUUGAAAAAAUUAAUUGAAAAAAAAUAUUUCACUGUAGAUCAUUUAAAUACUGCCAUACAGCACUUCCCUUAUAAGUUUUCAGACAAAACCAAUUGUCCUCAGAAAAUUCCAGUAAAUUUUCAUUUGGUCGGAACAAUAGGAGGGAAUGGCCAUGAGAAUUGGACUCUGUUAAGGUUGUUGCCAUUAAUUAUUGGUGAGGUUGUUCCUGAAAAUGAUAACGCUUGGUCUGUGAUUCUCGAACUAAAAGACAUUGUUGAAAUCUUGGUAUCGUCCAGUUUCACAGAAGAAAGCCUCUCUUACUUGGAAGCAAAGAUCUUUGAACAUAGGAAACUUUUAAUAGAAGUGUUUCCUGAUGUGAAACUCAAACCCAAACAUCAUUUCCUUGAACAUUAUCCCGGUCUAAUUCGUUGCUUUGGACCCGUGGUGGACUUCUGGACAUUUCGCUUUGAAGCUAAACAUAGCUUCUUCAAGAAAGCAGCCCGGGAUCUAAAUAACUUUAAGAACAUUGUUUUGUCCUUGGCCAACAAACACCAACUUAUGUUGGCAUACUUUUUGGACAUGCCAUGCCUGUACAAGCCAGCAGUGGAAGUAGAAAGAGCAACAUACAGUUCCCUAGAAAAUCUGUCGACCUUAGUCAAACAAGCUAUUCAGCACAAAUUCUGUCAUCUGACCACUGUAUCACUUGCCACAACAGCCUUUAUACAUGGGACCAAAUAUGUAAAGGGCAUGUUUGUAUCAUUUGGAAGCACGAGUGGACUCCCUGACUUCUGUCAAAUCCUGUACAUUGUGGUAGUGGACAGCAAGGCAUUCUUUAUUCUUCAACCUUUCUCCACCUGGUACCUGGACCACUUCAGAUGUUUUGAAGUUUGCAGCACUGAUGAUCUCCAACUUGUUGUAGUCGAACCUGCAGAGCUGAACCACUACGCCCCCCUGUCAGCCUACCUCUUGCAAGGAAGACACCUGGUUUCUCCCAAGGCAUCCCUACUGCACUGAGGUAAUAAUUUUGCUGAUUGUCUUGUGGAUAAUUAUAAUUGUGCAUUAACCCUGAACUAACCCUGAAGCCUGUUUUUGAUUAUAAGACUACCUUAUGUUUUAUACUUUUCUAAAGCUCAUCUUUCACCGCCAAAAUAAACAUUCAAAAUGAUCUCUGGUCUUGUUUUCUAGCUUAUUCAUUCCAUGAUUGGUAACAUUUUGGUCAUCAUAAUCACAUCAGGCAUGCCAUAUGAUGGUCUGAUUGCCAAAACGUUGCCUUUCAUUUAAUAAAUAUGCGAAAAACGAGAUGUGUGCGGUACUUUCCUCUUAAAGGUAAUCCAGGGUUUCCUGCAGAAAAUGUGUUAGUUUAGGUGGGGGGGUGCAACUCUUUUAUAAAGGUGGUAUUAUGGUAUAGAUCAUGCUUAUUUUCAUGCAAGCUGUCGGACUGUUGCCCUGAAGCCUGAUCUUUACACGGAGAGUGAAUAUAGUUUAGAUUGUUUUAUACUAAACUAUAAUAUUCACCAUUAAAAAAAAUUAGAAUUAAGCAGCCGUGUGUUGAUAAGGCGGCCGAAACCCUGCCUAGGCUCUGUAAACUUGAAUGUAAUCAAAGGGGCCACCAUAGCUACCAAAAUAGACGAAAUUUAAAACCUAUUUUCAGUAUUACAUAGGGUUUAAAUAAGACAUUUAAUUUAUAAUCUGGCAGGACAAAAAUCCAACACCUUACAGUGCACUCUUCUACUGCAAAGGUGCAAUUGAAAAUUUGAUUUCAAUUUGAAGUUACUCAUAUGAUAUGCAUAAGGCGUACCUAAAAUAUUUGAUCAUGACGCAACCAUUUUUGUAACAAUUUUUUUUUUAGCUGGGAUUCACCAUGUUGCUGCGCGUCAUCCUUAGCCAAGAUGACAUCCGGAGGAUCACCAUUGACAGCAUGCCAGAGACUGUUAUUGGCCUUCACUUGAUGCUAAAAAACAUGCUGGGACUGGAGGGUGACUUGGUGGUGCAGUUCCAAGAUCCAGAGUUCGAUAAUGAGCUUUGCAACUUGAGUUGCAUGUCAGAGCUGCCUAAGGACAAAGUCACUUUGAAGGUCUACAGCAAGAAUCUAGAAUCCCAUCAAACAGACUCAACCUUGGACACGGCAAGCCUAACCACACCCUCUGAGGAAAGCCACAUCCCCCCUGCCAGUCGUCCUCGUCAGCUGCCACAGCCAUUUCAUAUUCCUACUUUUUCAUUUGAUGUGGAACUUAAGUUGAGGCACGGAAAUGAAGCCUUCCACAAAGAUGGAACCCUUCUUGACAUCUCCAAAGACACAAAAUCUGACAUUUUGGAUAAAAUAGCAGAAGCCAUCUAUGUCCACAACCCAUACCCAACACGUGAGGAAUAUGAUUUGGUGUCACAAGCUCUCGUCGAAAAACAUCCAUGUCUGAGGGAACCAGGGUCGGUCAAUGGUUGGUACUGUUGGAGAUUUAGUUUGAAGUUUAAAAUGGGUAAUUUCAGACAGAAGUUACGAUUGGCUGGAUGCCCAGAGCUCAAGAUAAACUCGCGCUCUCCAGGUACACCUGGGAAAGGAAAACUCAAGAGGGCCAGAAAAUCUGAAGUGAAUUUCCUGCCAGACCUCCCUGAGGGAAAAACACAACGUUCCCUCGAAGACGAAAGAACGGAGAUGGUCACCGAAAUGAAGAAGAGGAAAAUUGAUGGGCAGCAAAUAAAAGAAAUGAUGACCAGCACCUUUUCUUUACGGAGAAAAGAAAUUGUGGAGGAUGAGCCACCUGUGGCCGACGUGAGAGCAAGAUGGCCAGCACUGUUCUCUGAACGUCAGAUUGAAGCAGAGUUUGCUCGCCUUACGUCUGUUGACCUGAAAGGCUCCCUCUUCGCUGGCCUGGACAAGUAUCUGCUGAGGUUUCUUGAGGUGUACAGAGCCAGGAGUGGGCUGGUGGAGCUGAACAGCCUUUUGAGUACUCUGGAUAAUGACAGUUCCAAUCAAAGGCAAAGGGCAGUUGUUUUGAUGGGGCUCCCCUACUAUCUAAAAGAUGUGGCCAAACUUUACAAGAAAGUACAGGUCACAGAUGCAGAGGAGGACUGGACAAAGGGGAUGGCAGUCGGUAUCCUUAUGGUGGAACAGGAUGAUCGGGUCGGUUUCGCAGUGGUCCUCGAGGAAGAAAUCAUCUUUCCAAGCAUCAGUGAUUUUCCAACUGCUGUGGCACUGCUAAUGGGUCUGCUCUUUGCCCUCAACAUAGACUACCCCAGAGACCUCAAGUACACUUUUGAGGUGAUUCAGAAGGUGCUUAUGGACAUUGGUGGAGGGCAAUGCUCUGCAUUAGUUCAUGGGUUAAAAAACCGACUUUUGAGAAAGAAAAAGUAAGCUUAAAAGCUGCUUUUUACAUUGUUGUUAGUUUUGAUGCAUUUGUUCUAAAUGCACAUUGUUCCGUUUACGUUUUACACUAUUUGUAAUUUUAGCUAGCAUUCAACAAUUUACAAGUUUUAACAUUUUACUGCUUUUUGAGAAGAUUUUAUAGAGAGAGAGAGAGAGAGGUAGCGAGAGAUGUAGGUAGCUGGAGAGAGGUAGGUAGCUGGAGAGAGGUAGGUAGAGGGAGGUAGGUAGCUGGAGAGAGGUAGGUAGAGGGAGGUAGGUAGCUGGAGAGAGGUAGGUAGAGGGAGGUAGGUAGAGGGAGAGGUAGGUAGCUGGAGAGAGGUAGGUAGCUAAAGAGAGGUAGCAAGAGAAAGAAGGAUAGAGGUAGCAGGAGAUAGAGAUAGAGCGAAAAAUUUCUAAACUAUUUGUAUUCAGUGGGCGUCCAUCAACCUUAUCUUUGUUUACGGUACAUUUUGAAAACGGUGCAUGACAUUUAUUUUGAGAGGUGAAGUAUCCACUUCAAGUGUGAAGUUGAAACUUUGUUCGAUUUUCAACUGAUUCAGAUGUGAAGUUCAUACUUUGUCACAUUUUCACUUGUUUUUGAGGUGAAGUUGAGCUAAUUACUGAGUGUUCCUGAAAGUGUCAGUUUGUGUGGGAUAAUCGCUCAUCAAUAUCCCUCUUUGUUGCGUUUUGUUGCAAAAAAAUAAUACAAUAAAACUGUUGAUCAGUGACUGCCAAAAUCUCUGGUGUAAAGGAUGGUCAUUCUUUUGAGAAAAAUCCUGAGCAAGGAUUCAUCAUUUAAAUCAACUUAUACAUUUAAGUAAUCUUGAUUGUGGUUUAUAUUCAAUCAGUUAAUAAAUGUAAGUACACCUCACUAGUAUAUCAGUUAAAUGAACUUGUACAUUUAAGUAAUCUUGAUUGCGGUUUAUAUUCAAUCAGUUAAUAAAUGUAAGUACACCUCACUAGUAUAUCAGUUAAAUCAACUUGUACAUUUAAGUAAUCUUGAUUGCGGUUUAUAUUCAAUCAGUUCAUAAAUGUAAGUACAACUCACUAGUAUAUCAGUUAAAUCAACUUAUACAUUUAAGUAAUCUUGAUGGCGGUUUAUAUUCAAUCAGUUCAUAAAUGUAAGUACAACUCACUAGUUUUGUAGUUGCAUCAACAAAAAAAUGUAUGUUACUUAUAAUGCUAAUUAAGUUUAAUCAACUAUUAAAUUUAUGUAGUAUGGACUCAAGGUUAAGUUAUGUCACCUAACGGUUUCAAGUAAUAUGGACUGAAGAUGGAGUUGAGUCAAAUAGCAAUAUCUAUUUAUGUUAACUUAUUGUCUUAGUUGUCUUGACAUACAAUUUCAAGGCAGCAUGGAAACAAGUAUUUUUAAGUUGAACCAACAAGUUCGGGUUUA